UACGUAGGGUGCAAGCGUUGUCCGGAAUUAUUGGGCGUAAAGAGCUCGUAGGCGGUUUGUCGCGUCGAAUGUGAAAACCCGGGGUUCAACCCCGGGCCUGCAUUCGAUACGGGCAGACUAGAGUUCGGUAGGGGAGUCUGGAAUUCCUGGUGUAGCGGUGAAAUGCGCAGAUAUCAGGAGGAACACCGGUGGCGAAGGCGGCAUCCUGGACCACUACUGACGCUGAGAAGCGAAAGCAUGGGGAGCGAACAGGG
rnacentral:rRNA from 1 species